CUACGGGGCGCACCAGUGGGGAAUAUUGCACAAUGGAGGAAACUCUGAUGCAGCAACGCCGCGUGGAGGAUGACACUUUUCGGAGCGUAAACUCCUUUUAUAUAGGAAGAUAAUGACGGUACUAUAUGAAUAAGCGCCGGCUAACUCCGUGCCAGCAGCCGCGGUAAUACGGAGGGCGCAAGCGUUACUCGGAAUCACUGGGCGUAAAGAGCGUGUAGGCGGAUUAAAAAGUCAGAAGUGAAAUCCUAUAGCUUAACUAUAGAACUGCUUCUGAAACUCUUAAUCUAGAAUAUGGGAGAGGUAGAUGGAAUUUCUGGUGUAGGGGUAAAAUCCGUAGAGAUCAGAAGGAAUACCGAUUGCGAAGGCGAUCUACUAGAACAUUAUUGACGCUGAGACGCGAAAGCGUGGGGAGCAAACAGGAUUAGAUACCCCAGUAGUC
rnacentral:rRNA from 1 species